rnacentral:rRNA from 1 species
GGGGAAUUUUCCGCAAUGGGCGAAAGCCUGACGGAGCAACGCCGCGUGAGGGAGGAAGGCUCUUGGGUUGUAAACCUCUUUUAUCAAGGAAGAUAAUGACGGUACUUGAUGAAUCAGCAUCGGCUAACUCCGUGCCAGCAGCCGCGGUAAUACGGAGGAUGCAAGCGUUAUCCGGAAUAAUUGGGCGUAAAGCGUUCGUAGGUGGUUAUGUAAGUCUGCUGUUAAAGCGUGUAGCUUAACUACAUAUAGGCAGUGGAAACUACAUGACUAGAGUGCGUUCGGGGCAGAGGGAAUUCCUGGUGUAGCGGUGAAAUGCGUAGAUAUCAGGAAGAACACCGGUGGCGAAGGCGCUCUGCUAGGCCGCAACUGACACUGAGGGACGAAAGCUAGGGGAGCGAAUGGGAUUAGAUACCCC